CGGGGGGUGGGAGAUACGGAAGGCUGCUGCUCCCCCGUGCCCGGUCGUGAGACCGCCGGGAACCGAGGCUGCACCAGCUGCAGGAGAACCACUGGGGUGAGCAGCACCAGAGCCUCAUCACCCACCUGCACCAUCACAGUGGGAGCUGAGAGGUCUCUUGCAUGUCUUGCUGGAGGGCAGGAGGCACUUUCCAGACCGCUGCUCCCCUGCCACCAGGCUGGGCAGGCAGCGCUGGAGCGGCAGAUGCCACAUCUCCAGCGGGAUGCACCAGGUCAGGAUGCAGCCUGGCUGCGGGUGAGGGGAGAACAGACCCCCCCAGCAUCGCAGGCGAUGCAGCAAAGCUGGCAUGCUGCUUCCCAGCUGCUUCCAUCGGGCAGGAGUCCCCAGUUGCCACAUCUCUCUCCAGCAGGGCUCCUCCUGAGAGCCCUCUCCUGCGG